GAAAUGCGAUAAGUAGUGUGAAUUGCAGAAUUCAGUGAAUCAUCGGAUCUUUGAACGCACAUUGCGCCCUUUGGUAUUCCAAAGGGCAUACCUGUUCGAGCGUCAUUUGUACCCUCAAGCUUUGCUUGGUGUUGGGCGUCUUGUCUCUAGCUUUGCUGGAGACUCGCCUUAAAGUAAUUGGCAGCCGGCCUACUGGUUUCGGAGCGCAGCACAAGUCGCACUCUCUAUCAGCAAAGGUCUAGCAUCCAUUAAGCCUUUUUUCAACUUUUGACCUCGGAUCAGGUAGGGAUACCCGCUGAACUUAAGC
rnacentral:misc_RNA from 1 species